AGUCUUGCUUUGGCAAUGUGGGCUCUUUUUUGGCUCCUUAUGAAUUUUACAAAAUAAUUAUAAAACCCCAAAGUGACUGAAAAUAAUUUGAUCUCUUAGAGAAUUACAGUAGGAAGCUCUUUGCUGAGGCUUGCCACUAGAGGGAAGUAGCACAUCCAAAAUAAGCUAUCUUUAGACCUGAAACACAAACACUGAAAGAUUGCUAACUGAUUUGGUUCCUAGUUCUAUGUAAAUGAGUUCACAUAUACAGUCACAAGAGGGAGCUGUUACAGCUGCAAAUACAAGCCCUUUCCAGGGUGAGAGAGGUUGUCAUUGAGUUGUACAAGGAAUUUAUGUUCAUUCUUUUCAUCACCUUGUACUUUAUUAUCUCUUUUUGAGUGUGUGCAUAGCUUCAAAGACAAGGGUAAGCCCCUUCCCAAAUGCAAAGCAGAAGUGACACUGAACGGGAAAAACAGAGAGGUGAUUAAUAUAUAGCUCAAUUUUAAAUGGUGAAGUAUUUGUUGCUAUAAUGGACUGUCAAUUUUAGUUAUUGUAGUAGAGAUAAUGAGUAAUUUUAUUCCUUCCCAUUUCUUUAAUAAGCACUUUUGAGAAUAACUAGAGAAACCCCUUCAUGGUUACUUCUACCUCUCUUAUCAAAUGGCAUCAUUUCAUUUCCCUCUCCAAAUCUCUUCCCAUUCUCCCCUUUUCCCUAGUGUCUUCAAUGCAUGCAACUCUUAGGCAUCAUGAAGAUGAGAAAACAUGUUAAGGAGGAGCUCAAGUGGCAUAGAAAUCGGGACCAUUCAAGCCAUUGGCUCCUGUCUCAAAAUCAGAGGCACCAGCAAUGUUUAUCUGGAAAACACUUAGAACAUCAUUCUAGGAGCCAGUGUGGGAGACCUGAGUACCAGGAAACUUGGCUUUAACCUGAGCUCUAACUUUCUUUCCUUUCACGCUUAGCACAGCAAUAUUAUACAACUACAAAAUUAUUUUUGUUAUAUAUGUUGCAAGUAACUUCUUUCAUUGUGUUAUUUUAUUUUCAAUUUUGCUUAUGGUAAUUUUUUUUUUUACCAGAAAGAAGUUUCUAACUUUUGAAAUUAAAUUGUAUACUAUUGCUUCUAAGACUUACCCUAAAGAUGUGGAUUGAAAUUUUCUUCUUUCUCUUACAGCACAGGGCUCACAUAGACUUCUUGGAAUAAAGGGCAUUUCUUACCAGCUCAAUGGAUUGUCAAACCACCAAUUAAUAGUGGGUUUUGUCUUUACCAUAGUAAGGGAUGGGUAAUCCCACUGUGUUUUACUCCUUUAGAUGUAGCCUACUUGAAUUUCAACCUUGAAAAUGAUCUCAAUGGAAACUUUCUGAAUUAAAGGUAGAUUUAGGGAAAAUAUUUUUCCUCCCUUUUUAAAGUCUUGGGGUUUUUUAAUUAAUAAAUAAUAAUUGUAUUUUAUCUUCUUUUAAAAUUUAUGUUUAAACCUGGGGGUAGGCUAAACCUAACCAGGAAGCUGCUCUAUCUUUAACUGACAAUUGAUGGGGAGCACUCAGAUUGAAACUUGCCUGGUGUGGGAUGUGCUGUGGCUGCUGCUUUGUUUCCUGGGGCCUCCCCUGACCUAGUAUCUGGCACAGAUUCUGAGUUCUGGGGCCUGGAACUUCAGUGUGCACUUGAACAAUGAAGCUGGUGACAAGCAUUACCGUAUUCCUAUCUUUGGGUAUUAUGGGUGAUGCUAAGACCACACAGCCAAAUUCAAUGGAAAGUAAUGAAGAACAGCCCGUACAUUUGCCUUGUAACCACUCCACAAUGAGUGGAGAUGAUUACAUACACUGGUAUCGACAGCUUCCCUCCAAGGGUCCAGAGUACGUGAUUCAUGGUCUAAAAAGCAAUGUGAACAGAAUGGCCUCUCUGACAAUCGCAGAAGACAAAAAGUCCAAUACCUUGAUCCUGCACCGUGCUGCCUUGAGAGACGCUGCUGUGUACUACUGCAUCUUGAGAGACCACAGUGGAACAUAUGGGGCUGCACCUGUGCAAUAUCUCCCUGAUUGUGGAAGAGAAGGCAUCUAACAAGGCCACUGCACAAGAAGGAUCAGAAGUUUAAUAGAGGAAUAAGAAAAUUUAAAAAGAAAAGGGAAAAGAAGUAAAGAGGAGGUGGUAAGGAAAUCAAUAAGAGGAUUAAAGGAAUGAAGAAACUGAGAACAGUUGAGAAGUACUGAAGAAAGGAUUGAGAAGCUUGGUGAAGAGAUGGAGAAUCAUAAUUGGAAUCUUGCAAUCAAGAAGAAAGGAAAUAAGAAUUUUCCAGGACACUUUCUUUUAAUCAACUCUUGCUUUCCAUGUAGAUCUCACUACAAAAGAUGAGAACAACCAUUUGGUUGUCCCAAAGCGUUUCUUCAUCUAGCCCCGGGGAAGUGCCUGGGCUUUGAAUAUUACAUCAUAUUAGUCCUUCCAACCUCUCAAAAAUUGAAAUAAAUUUCAGAAAUUGAUUCAGUUUUCCUUGUUACUUAUCCAUAGCACACACUCUUGGGAUAUAGAUGAUUUCUGGAAGGGAGCAAGAAAUUGAAUAUUGAUUUCUUUUUUAAAAUCUAUGUUGAAUAUCUUUAUUAUUACACAAAAAUACACAAAUC